rnacentral:rRNA from 1 species
GGUAACAGGUCUUCGGAUGCUGACGAGUGGCGAACGGGUGAGUAAUACAUCGGAACGUGCCCGAUCGUGGGGGAUAACGGAGCGAAAGCUUUGCUAAUACCGCAUACGAUCUACGGAUGAAAGCAGGGGACCGCAAGGCCUUGCGCGGACGGAGCGGCCGAUGGCAGAUUAGGUAGUUGGUGGGAUAAAAGCUUACCAAGCCGACGAUCUGUAGCUGGUCUGAGAGGAUGACCAGCCACACUGGGACUGAGACACGGCCCAGACUCCUACGGGAGGCAGCAGUGGGGAAUUUUGGACAAUGGGCGCAAGCCUGAUCCAGCCAUGCCGCGUGCAGGACGAAGGCCUUCGGGUUGUAAACUGCUUUUGUACGGAACGAAAAGACUCUGGUUAAUACCUGGGGUCCAUGACGGUACCGUAAGAAUAAGCACCGGCUAACUACGUGCCAGCAGCCGCGGUAAUACGUAGGGUGCAAGCGUUAAUCGGAAUUACUGGGCGUAAAGCGUGCGCAGGCGGUUAUGUAAGACAGAUGUGAAAUCCCCGGGCUCAACCUGGGAACUGCAUUUGUGACUGCAUAGCUAGAGUACGGCAGAGGGGGAUGGAAUUCCGCGUGUAGCAGUGAAAUGCGUAGAUAUGCGGAGGAACACCGAUGGCGAAGGCAAUCCCCUGGGCCUGUACUGACGCUCAUGCACGAAAGCGUGGGGAGCAAACAGGGAUUAGAUACCCUGGUAGUCCACGCCCUAAACGAUGUCAACUGGUUGUUGGGAAUUCACUUUCUCAGUAACGAAG